rnacentral:lncRNA from 1 species
UCCACUGCAAAAUUCAAUUCCCCCGUAUAUGCUCCAAACAAGACUGACACUAUCUCCUCUAACCCUAACUUUCCGCUUAAGCGCCAUCUGCUUAAAGGACGAAGCCGAUUAAUGCCGGUCGCCGAUUAUUCUUCCUAUUCGCUUAUUUCGAUUGCCAUUGAUGAGUCUGACUGCUUUUUUUUUUUUUUUGGAAUUUUUGCCCGAUGAUGCAUAUCAUAAACUUAUUGAGCGGUUGCAAAUGGUAGUUUUAGUUCACUCUGGCCUUCGCUCGCCACCAGUUCCUCCACCGUCUUUUGCACAUAUAUAUAUAUAUAUAUACAUACAUACACAUGCACACACAAACGCACCAGUGUUGUGGUGGCGUGUGAAGGCUUUUGAUGGACGCCAUUUGGCUAAAACUGCGAAUGAUUUGUUGAAAGCUAUGAGAUCUGAGGGCUUUUUUUAUUUAAUUUUUCAAAGCUAUGCAUUUUGCCUGAACGGUGAAUGUGUUUAAUUACGCUAGUGUUGGCUUUGCAUGUAUGCUUCCUCUGGUCUCUGGGCCUGAUCUAUUCCAGUUAGGAUACUUGUUUAGAUGUUGCAUUGGUCAUCUUGUCUUUUGAUAUAUUGAUUUGCCUAGAUUUUUCCGCUAGUUAAAUGCUGGGUGUUUGGUAUUUGUUUUGGACUGUGAAUGAUGAUUCUUGCACUGGGCUCUGAAUUAUUGAUGGAAAUGCAAGCCUAGAAAGCUUUAUCUGACUCCCUUCUCUCUCUCUCUCUCUCUUUAUUAGUCUUGGUGGGUUGUCUCUCUAGGGAAUACGAUAAGCUAAUUGAAUAAUUGCCCAUAAACCUUACUAUGCUUUCAUUCUAUUUCUCUCUGUUUUUGUCCUUAAUAUUUACAAAUUUUUAUUGGUUUUAAAACAGUUGUGGUGUCUGUGCUUCUUAUUCAGAUCCUUUGUAAUUCCUGGUUCAUCAAUUCAUAUUUAAGAGCUUCUUUGUCUUUUGAAUUUGCUAUACCCCAACUGAUGACACCUGAUCAAAUGGGAAGUUGCUUUGAUGCCUCCCAUCUUCACUAUCUGUACUUCUGUCCCCAGUUAUACUGGCUGGUGGUGGUUUUUAUUAUUGUUUGAAUUUAUUCUGUUAUCUGUGAAGAUGUUGAUCGACUUUUAAUGAAAAUCAUGUUUUUCACUGCCCGAAGUUACAAGAGUUUGAUCAGAGGGCUUAUAAAGCUAUCUAAAUUUGCUCUUCUUUUUUUUUUUNNNNNNNNNNNGGGGGGUGUAGACAGAAUAAUGUCACUUUUAAUAAUUUGUGUAAUGGUCCAGAAUAUUAUUAUGCUAUUGAGUUUAUCAACUUUGUUGUGCAAUAGUUGGAUAAUAGGAUACUGAGAAUUAUCUUCCUUUCUCACUGCCCAAUGAUGGAAAAUGAGAAGUUAAUUGAGUGGUUACUAGGACGUCCACUGAGAGCAUUUUGCCAUCUAUACCUGUAUCAGCAUUGCUGUGAUCUCUCUGUCUGUCUCUCUCUUUUUUUUCUUUCUUUCUUUACUAGGGUUGAUGUUGUGAUAAGGCAUCAGUGGAAACUAGGUGCAACCUCGAUGAACUAUUCCAGCUUUGAUAUCUGAGGGCAUUUUUGGAUUAUGUGCAUCCCCAAGGUUUCAGUACAUGUUGGAUGUUAACUUUUAUCUGUAAUCAUUUUCACUUCUAUGCUCUAUGUUCAUUUGAGCCAGUCAUUUUACUUUUACACCAUACUAAUUUUGUCUUCUUAGUCAUGUGUAGUAGACAUUUCAGUGGAAGUGAUCUCAUUGUUCGAGUGGUGACUUUAUUUUCCAUUUGUUAGCUGCCUCUAUUUCGUACUUCACCUCUUACUGUUUUGCUUGAACUCUUUCCCUUCUUCUCAUUAUUGUUAUUGAUGGUGGCGGCAAUGGUGGUAGUCAUUUCCUUUAUAAUUGAGAGGUGAGGAGGUUCUAUGCGAAAAAUAAAGUCCUACUAUGAAUGAGAUGCUUUAAAUAUAGAUGCUGGGAAGGUGGUUGUGCUGCAGAAAUGUCAUCUUUCUAUUUUCUCUGCAUUAGCUGUUGUUUUCUCUUCAUUUUGAUGUCAUGUACAAUAAUCAUUGAGUUGUUUUCAAGUGUUAGUUUUUCUUUUUUGUGUGUGUUUGGGNNNNNNNNNNNNNNNNNNNNNNNNNNNNNNNNNNNNNNNNNNNNNNNNNNNNNNNNNNNNNNNNNNNNNNNNNNNNNNNNNNNNNNNNNNNNNNNNNNAGUCUAUCACAACCACCUCUGUGUGUGUAUGUAUGUUGUUCGUGAUGUGUGUGUGUGUGUGUGUGUGUGUGUGUGUGUGUGUGGCGUGAAAAGGCAUUGAUAAAAACCAUGUGCGUUUAACCACAGAUGAUCUGUUGAAGCUAUGAGAUCUGAGGGCCUAUUAUUGAAUGCAGCCAACGUCCAGGGUGGUUUUUUUGUUGAAUUGUGUGGUGUUAUGAGCUGAAUUCCCAAUCUCUGUAGCAUGUGGGAUAGUUAUAUUUGUUUAGUGUGUAUUUUGUUGAUGGAAAUAAUUUUUUGUGUAGGUAGCUGAUGUUGUCCCUAAAAGAAAGUCUGCGUGAUCUAACUUAUAUUGUAUUCCAUUAGUGUUGGGAAUAGGAUAUCAGAGAUUGGGCAAUUCUAGCUUAGACUUGGUCCAUGUUGGACCUAAGACAAAUGUGUGGUUACAUAUUUUUAUGUUGGUCUCACUAUACCAAUUGUGUCUCCGGUCCACCGUGGACUGGGCUAAGCAAGAAUUUCCUAAAAGAUUUCAAAUGUCUGUUUAUCCUCAUCCUUUAGACCACUUGAUGAAGAAUUGAAGUUGUGAUUUGUUUUUCAUCUUCAAUAUGAAAAAUUGUAAGCUGCCAGGCUGUGUCAGUAUGUGAUGUGAAAUAUGGAUGCUCAUGGAGUAGACCUGUGUCGGUUCUAUGCCACAGCUCCGUGUCAAAGGUGAUUGAAGCUAAAAGCUAUCAAGGUUUACAAAAUUGAAGGCCGAGAUGGCCUAGAGGAAUUGUUGGAUGUUACGGUAAAUGUGAUGUUGAGAUUUCUGUUUGCAGCUAGAUUUUUCAAUUUGUAAGCAUUAAUUUAUUUAUCAAAUGUAAAUAUUUGUGAAACUGAUCGGAUGAUAUUGAUAUGGGAUCAUGGUGAGGAUUUUCAUUGCUCUGAUUUACAAAUAGUAUCAUCGAGUCAUGUUUAUAUUCUUUUGAUUCAUGGAGGGUUCUAAAGUCAGCUACGUUAAGUGCCAACAUUAAAAGGAAAUUAACUUAUUCCUCUGUUUUCUCUCUACUUUUUUGAAUUCCUUUGUAUUGGUUCGUCCUCAACCCUUGUGAUUUUCCCCCUUUUUUAGCAUAUUUUUUCCUUACUUCAUUGUCGUUAAUUUUCAUUUUCUUCUUUUUAGUAGUGAAUUAGUUUUUGCCAUCUAGUUUUUUUAAUUAAAGCCCAAUGACAAUUCAGCAAUUUUGCAAAAAUAGCAGUCUGUCUUUACAACAUCCUUCGUGAAGGGAUUGCAAGUUUUUCUUCUUUUUAUUUUUUUUCCUUAAUUUUUUAUGCCUAAUUUACUAUUUAGUUUAGUGAGAUUAAUUAUUUUGCAUUUCUACGUUUAAAAUUGCAUUAGAUAGUUUUAUAUUUUUAAUUAAUAUUCUAAAAAAUUAAAAUAGUUAAAUUCGUAAAAUUUUUAAUUUUAAAU